ACGCUCGACACCUACGGGAGACAGCAGUAGGGAAUCUUCCACAAUGGACGCAAGUCUGAUGGAGCAACGCCGCGUGAGUGAAGAAGGUUUUCGGAUCGUAAAGCUCUGUUGUUGGUGAAGAAGGAUAGAGGUAGUAACUGGCCUUUAUUUGACGGUAAUCAACCAGAAAGUCACGGCUAACUACGUGCAAGCAGCCGCGGUAAUCUGAGCGGGCUGGCAAGGC
rnacentral:rRNA from 1 species